rnacentral:rRNA from 1 species
CCUACGGGAGGCUGCAGUGGGGAAUAUUGGACAAUGGGCGAAAGCCUGAUCCAGCCAUGCCGCGUGUGUGAAGAAGGCCUUCGGGUUGUAAAGCACUUUCAGUGGGGAAGAAAGCCUUGGGGCUAAUACCCUCGAGGAAGGACAUCACCCACAGAAGAAGCACCGGCUAACUCCGUGCCAGCAGCCGCGGUAAUACGGAGGGUGCGAGCGUUAAUCGGAAUUACUGGGCGUAAAGCGCGCGUAGGCGGUCUGAUAAGCCGGUUGUGAAAGCCCCGGGGUCAACCUGGGAACGGCAUCCGGAACUGUCAGGCUAGAGUGCAGGAGAGGAAGGUAGAAUUCCCUGUGUAGCGGUGAAAUGCGUAGAGAUCGGGAGGAAUACCAGUGGCGAAGGCGGCCUUCUGGACUGACACUGACGCUGAGGUGCGAAAGCGUGGGUAGCAAACAGGAUUAGAUACCCUGGUAGUC